UGACUAACAGACUCAGAAGUCCAAUAAAAUCCAAAGUAGACCCCGAAAAAUACAGCACGGCAGUUUUCAAGUAAUCUUGGCAUCUUGAAUGGAUUAGGGCAUUCCAAUGUGCCAGGAAAUUGCGGCACAGCUCCAGCAAGUGGUCAUGCAAUCAAAAACUGGGAUCUGCAACCUGGAUCCCAUAUAACAGGAGAAUGAAGAUGUCAGUGACCCCUGUAGAACAUUGCUACUAAUAGGGGGCGUUAGCAAGCAGCCAUCGUCUCUGGGGCAACUGUACAGACUGAUAUUGAACCACCAUCCCUAUUAAUCUGUCAUUUAUUGUAUAUUCAAGAUAUUGUGAAAUAA